CAAAGCUCUCUGUUUGAUCUAGUUCCCUAGGCUCUAUUCGUAUCAACAUUUUCAUCAUUUAAAGAAACAAAGAAUAUCAUCAAACACCUUAUGUGCAUAAGAUUUGACAUAGAAGCUUCUUCAUAUAACUAGUUCUUGAAGAAUGAUUUGAAAUCAAUACAAAAUGUGUAUCAAAUGAAAAAAGUAGACUGAAAUUUAUAUAAAUUGAAGACCCCGUGUGGUAUGUUUCCUCACUUUUCUUUCUUUUCUUGUUCCCUCGUUUUAUUCUCAUUCCCUCUAAAUUCUUCACAAAGCGAACAAUUUCCUCUCAAAGCCCUAAAUAACCGUCAAGUCUCUCCUCCGCCCCGGAAAUCGCCUUCACCAUAGUCAAUCUGCAUCGCUCCUCUUUGAAGCCUCUGAAAGGAAAACCUAAUCAGAAAUCACAUCCUUGUUGGCUUUCCUCUUGGUCUGUCUCCCUUCCUUGUUGACUCGCCACUUAAUUCCUAUCUAACGCCUUUCGAUCUAUUGGUUCAUCAUAUACUGUUGAUUUAGAUCGUACAACUACUCAGCAGUAACAGCGGCGUCGAUCACCAGCGGUGUCGAUCACCUGAUAGGGUAGCAGCGGCGGUUCUGUUGAUGGUCUGAAACACUUUGAAAACUUUUAGUAGUUACAAAAUUUACUAAAACAAAAACGCACAACAAAAGCAAGAAAUCGAAAACGCACAACGAAAGCAAGAACGGUGGGUAGCAGCAAACAACUGAAAUCCGCCGCUCCAAAAUGUUUGAAGGUUCCAAAAACGAUACAAGCACCAAUCCCCGAUGUUAGGUUACUAUGAAUUUCAAACAACCAGUUCCAUACGCGCUUCUCCAGGUAAAUCAACUUACUAUAAGCGAAGAUUAAUAAGACAUCUUCAAAAAAAUAGGGUACACAGGAUGACAAAUUGAAAAUCAUUACCAACUCUAAGCUUUUGGUAGGACUAAGAGGGGUAAAAUAGUCCAAUAAAAGAUUUUAGCAUAUAAAUAGAUAAAUAGCACAGAGAACAGGUAUGUGCUUCAUGUAGCUCUUCGUGCUUCAAAGGACACAACUUUAAACAGUGAUGGAAAGAAUGUUGGAGAGUAUUUCAAACCUUGUAUGGAUGCUAUGGAAAACGAAAGUCACUCUGCUGUUGUUGAUGUUGUUCUAAGAGAAUUAAUAUUGGUUCAUCUUGAUACAAUCAUGAUAAAUUUAAUCUGCUAAUAAGCUUUUCUCUUUUAUUGAUCAGACCUCUAUACCAGACAACCCUGAUUCAUUGCAAACUUAGGAAGUUCCUCUGUCAAGUCACUUGGUUACAAUAUAUGUUAAGGAAAAGCUUUAGGAAUGGCUGCUAAAAGCUAAAAAAAACUACUUCAAGAUGAAGUUGAUAACAGAAAGAAAAACUUUGAGUUUCAAAGUUUUAUUUCAAAGCAUAUGGUUGUUGUUAGCACAAAUCUCAAGAAUGAUAGGAAAUCUGCAACUAUGGAAAGAAAGAUGGGCAAGCUGUGAGAAUCCUAAAAACGAUUUUACACAAAAGAUACUAUGUAAAUUGUUCUUUUUACUACUUUUACUUUCAUGUUUGUCAGCAUUUGAUUUCCAGAGUUAUUGAUAAGGUUGGUUGCAUGCAAUCAAAAAAAGGGCCAAUGGCACUAGAGACCAUGAAGUUUUGGUGUGGUAGAUCAAACCCCAAAAGAGAAAUUUCUGAAGACCAAUAUACAAACACGGAAAAAGUAAGUAGAACAUUGUUAGCCUAAUUCCAUGGGAUUUAACGGGAAUCGGAAUCCAAUUCCAUUAUGAUCCUUCUUUCGGAUGCAUGAUGUAUGUGGAAAUGAAAAUUUUGAGGCGAAAUUGAGAUUAUGGUACAUUAUACUUGGAAAUAAAAUAUCAAUCAAUAUUAAACUUCUGAUAUUUGAUGAUUUUGAUCAUUUUGGUAAAACAUUGAUAUUUGAUGUUUUUGGAUGUUAUGUUAAAAUUUGAUAGUUGAUUUUGGUAUUUUAAUGUUAGUGUUUGGUUUUGGAUUGUAUAA